GACGGGACUAAUMGCCUAGGGAAUCUGGCCUGGUAGUGGGGGAUAACGUUCGGAAACGGACGCUAAUACCGCAKACGUCCUACGGGAGAAAGCAGGGGACCUUCGGGCCUUGCGCUAUCRGAUGAKCCUAGGUCGGAUUASCUAKUUGGUGAGGUAAUGGCUCACCAAGGCGACSAUCCGUAACUGGUCUGARAGGAUGAUCAGUCMCACUGGAACUGAGACACGGUCCAGACUCCUACGGGAGGCAGCAGUGGGGAAUAUUGGACAAUGGGCGAAAGCCUGAUCCASCCAUGCCGCGUGUGUGAAGAAGGUCUUCGGAUUGUAAAGCACUUUAAGUUGGGAGGAAGGGUUGUAGAUUAAUACUCUGCAAUUUUGACGUUACCGACAGAAUAAGCACCGGCUAACUCUGUGCCASCAGCCGCGGUAAUACAGAGGGUGCAAGCGUUAAUCGGAAUUACUGGGCGUAAAGCGCGCGUASGUGGUUUGUUAAGUUGGAUGUGAAAUCCCCGGGCUCAACCUGGGAACUGCAUUCAAAACUGACUGACUAGAGUAUGGUAGAGGGUGGUGGAAUUUCCUGUGUAGCGGUGAAAUGCUCUUGAUAUAGGAAGGAACACCRGUGGCGAAGGCSACCACCUGGACUAAUACCGACACUGAGGUGCSAAWCCGAGGGGAGMUGACGCGAAAASAUACCCUGSWCGUGCUCKCCGUCRACRAUGUCWACUAGGGCUUUGCGUACCUUGAGCUUUUAGUGGCGCAGCUAACGCAUUAAGUUGACCGCCKGGGGAGUACGGCCGCAAGGUUAAAACUCAAAUGAAUUGACGGGGGCCCGCACAAGCGGUGGAGCAUGUGKUUUAUUCGAAGCACGCGAAGAACYUUACCAGGCYUUGACAUCCAUGAAYUUUCUAGARAURAUUGGUGCCUUCGGACAUUGAGACAGGUGCUGCAUGGCURYCGUCAGCUCGUGUCUGAAUKUUAGGUAAGUCCGUACGAKCGCAUCYCUGUCCUUASUUACAGCCCGUAGU
rnacentral:rRNA from 1 species